rnacentral:lncRNA from 1 species
GACUUCAUCAUAACAACGGAGUUCAUUAGAAGAUGAAAACUUAUGAUGAAAAUAUCAAAAAUAUAUUUUAUUUAUUAACAAAUCAAUUACAAUACAAGGUUGCUCAACCGUCAAUAGAUUGACGAUUGACUUUUGAGAUAUAUUUUCUAACAACUCCCACUUGUCCUAAAGCCACUCGGCACAGUAUCUAAUACCCAUCUUCGAUUUGUGCUUGUCGA